rnacentral:rRNA from 1 species
GGGAAAAGUCCAGCAUUGAAUCCCGCGGCCGUCUCGAUCGGCGGGAAAUGUAGUGUUAGGGAGGGUCCACCAUCAAGGGGUCACGCAACGAGUCCAAGUACUUCUUGAACGGGGCCACUUACCCAUAGAGGGUGCCAGGCCCGCAGUGACUGUCGCCGGCAACGGGAGGAUCUCUCCUCAGAGUCGGGUUGCUUGAGAGUAUUUGGUAAACUCCAUCUAAGGCUAAAUAUGACCACGAGACCGAUAGCGGACAAGUGAGGGAAAGUUGAAAAGAACUUUGAAGAGAGAGUUCAAUAGUACGUGAAACCUUUCAGGGGUAAACCUGAGAAACCCGAAAGAUUCGAAUGGGGAAAUUCAGCGUGUCUCGAAGCGUGCGAGCGGUGGUUGCGCGAUGGACGGCGUUCGCGUCGUUCGCGCCCUCUGCCGCCGACUCGUGGCGAACGCAUGCACUUUGCCCCUAAUAGGACGUCGCGACCCGUUGGACGCCGAUCUAAGGGCCGCGGUGGAGGCCGGGUGGCGCUUCGGCGUUCCGCCCGGCCGGCUCGCUUGGCGGUACGACAGUGGCGCGGGGCCGCGAUAUUUUGCGUCCGGCUCGUCGCAAGUGCAGACGUUAAUCUGGAUGACGGACCUGGCGCCGUCUCCGGACCCGGCCUACUGCCGGGCAUUGAGUCGGCGCCGCACCCCCGGGGCGUCUCGUGCUCAUCGCGAGCUAAGGCGCAUCCAGAGCGUACACGCUGGGGCCCGAAAGAUGGUGAACUAUGCCUGGUCAGGACGAAGUCAGGGGAAACCCUGU